rnacentral:lncRNA from 1 species
GGGGGAAUAAAGUAACAAGUUCACUGCAAGGUUUUACGAGCUGAUUGGAAGCUCAAAUAAAGCGGCCAAUGAAGAAUGACAAGUUCACUGCAAGGUUUUACGAGCUGAUUGGAAGCUCAAAUAAAGCGGCCAAUGAAGAAUGACAAAUCUGUUGAAGCUCGAACAACUAAGAAAGAGAAUGAAAAUAUGAAAGGUGGAAAAAAAAAUAAGGUGUGCAUCUCAUAACCUAUAAUGCAAGAAAUGCCUACAGAACUCCACAGGAAGAAUGCCGCUUAAACAUAAUAACACUGUUAUUGAAUAAGUAAAAACCAAA